rnacentral:tRNA from 1 species
GCGGGGUGGCCGAGUGGUUAGGCAGCGGCCUGCAAAGCCGUGUACGCCGGUUCGAUUCCGGUCCCCG